AUGCUGACUUGUCUUGUGGGUCUAAGGCUAGAUCAGUGUGAUCAUCUGAUGGCCACACCGCCGACUCGGCCUGGCCAGAUGGUCCAUGCCUGCUGUGCCUGCUAUACAGGAGCCGAGGCUAGCCAUGUAUGGCCCCACAACCCCCUGUGGCUGGCGGAGAACAGGAGAGCUGCUGGGUCUGGAGGGAAGUGUAACAUCUAGAUGGAUGUUCAUGAGCAGAGAAGCAGUACAGAUGCAGGGAGCUGAAGUGCGCAGACGGCGGAAUUCUCGGCGACUGCUCAGGGAUCCAGGUCACUAGGUGGACAUCUUGGAAGAUCAGGGCUUAUUGAGUGGUUAGGCCAGAGGUCACAGCAUGUUUUACUUGUAUGGUUUUGGCCAACAUAAUAUUUGAUUCUGUUAGCAUUUAAAAUGUGAGGAAUUAAUUAAUAGUCUUGAUUUAUGCCACAUA
rnacentral:lncRNA from 1 species